CUCUCUCUCCAUGUCUUUAUCUCUGUUGCCAUCACUAGGGUUUUUCUAGGGUUGCAAAGCCGUCGGCUUUUACUUGAUUUAUUUGUUCUGUAAUAUAGCAAAUCGGAUUUGCAAUUUGUUAAUUGUCUUCGCUCGUGUGAUUUCUGUUGUUCUCCUGCAAUUUUCAUGCUUCCCAUCUGAAUUGUUGGAGCCUCUACUUAGUCAUGAUAUCACACCAUUGAUUCAAAAAUCAGAAUCAUGUGGAUACGAUGAUCCAGACAUGAGCAUUCGAAGUAGAAUAAUCUGCAGGGAUUUCUUGCGUGCCCCAACCCUCGUUUGAUAUCAUGUAACAAAAUCUUUCAUCAUUUAUACAUUUUUAGCGAACUUUAAACCAUGUUAUAUUUGCAAUCACUGUUUCUUUGUACUUUUUAUCUCAAAACUGUAGUUUCUUGUUAGUGUCAAGAUCACUGCCUUUGGACUUCCUAGAAUUUCUUCUGUUACCUUUGUAUUGUUGUGUGUAUCUACGUUCAUGUAGUUUGCUGUGUUCUUUUCUUUUUCUUUUUUGUUUUGUGCUCUAAAUUUGCUUCUGAGUUGUAUAAUAUUUUCAACUUCUACUAUUUAGUUGUUGUUGUUACGACAUCACCAUUGUUUGUGGAGUAGGAAAACAUUUAGAGUGACGUUUAAUGUGAUGGGAGAAUUGGGUGUUAAGUAGGCCAUAAGAGACAAAAAAAAGGCCAAAAUAGAGAGAGAGAGAGAGAGAGAGAGAGAGAGGAGACUAGAAAAUCUGAUUCACAUAAAUUUUAAAUCCUGUAAUAGAAAAAACAAGUACUGCAAAUUCAACGUUUACCAAUUUGGUCAAUGAGAAAAACCUUGAAUCGUCCAAUUGAAUAGCUUGUGUUGUUGACAAGUCUUCAUUGCAAGUUGGCUUUAGAUGGUUGCGCUUCAACAAGGAUGUAGAUGAUUGACUUUUCAGGAGCAGAGAGGAAGGAGGAGUGAUUGGUCUUGGAUCCCACUCCAAGUCCUGUAUCUCACAUCAGGGAAAAUUAUAGGGUCGCACCACUCAUACAUUAUAAGGAAACUAAAUUCCUAUUCAUUCAAGAGUCGAUCAUCUACAUCUGCUCAAGCUCGACCAUUAUGGAGUAUAUUUGCAACUUCAACUUCUCAUUAACACAUGCGAGUUGGACGAUUUAAGGCUUUCCUCUUUGACCGAAUUGAAAAUUCACUCUUUAGGUUUUCCAAUGUCAUAUUUGGUACCGGAGCUGGAUCCUACCAACAUGUCCACAGGAAGUGGGUCUCUUUUGUCUUCUUUAAAGAAGAUAAGUUUUCAGAUUCGUCUACUAAAUAUUUUUUUCUUCUUAGUGCUCGAUGGUUUCCUUUUUCAGCCAUAUGAUUCUUGUUCUCUUUUUCUUUAUAUACCUCUUUUUUUUCUUCAUAAUUAAUCUAGGAAAUAUAAUUGAAAAUAUUCUAGAUGUCGUCAUGUGGCAACUUAUAGAAUUUGUAAAAGACCCUUUAAACUAAUAGAAAUUUUACUUAAAAAUAAAAAACAAUGACGAUGAUCCCAUAUCACAGCCUUCAUAUGAUAAGGCGGGUGCUAAGUGAUACUUGAUCAAGGAAGAUUGAGAUGUUCUCUGAAAUCAAGAGCAGUGGCAGGUGUCCUGCCAAUUGUGAUCCAAUAACACUACAGGAUUAACCAAAAAUCUCCUUUAAGAACAAGAGUCCUAAACUGAAAACCCAAUUUAAUCUGGAUGAUUCCAACUUCAGCGAUAAUAUCUAAAACGUAUUGGAUCAUUAGAUUUAGUCAUAUGCACAUCGAUUUGAUGUUGUUGGUUAUCUGAUCCAAUUAAGAAUUGUACAAUCAGAACAGUAUAACUGGAUUGGACUGAUAAACUAUCGGAUUAGUAUUAAACCGUAUGCAGUUUAACUUUGUUCAUAUCACAUGGUGUCUGAUUUGUUAGCUGGCCCUCUUUAGGGGAUUGAUAUGUAGAACAAACUACAUAGGGAUUCAGAGACAAGAUAUCCCCAUGCCAUACAUAAUUCGUUGCAGAAUAGCAUAUGCCUCUGAUUGAUAUUCACAAAUAUGUAUAUAUUCACAAUUUGUGUGUAGGAACGACCGAUGCUGUCGCUCCUUGCAUUGUAUGUUGUUGUGGUUCGUCAAGUCUAAUGCACAUAUAAGCAUGAAUAAAUGAGCUUUCGAUGCAUAAUGAUGAAUUUCCUGUUUGCUAGCCUUCUGUUGUAAUUGGUGAGUGUUUAUCUGCAGAUAUUCUGAUUGCACCAAUCAAAAUAUCAUAAGAAUUUCCAAAUGAAGAGAAAUGCUCACAAGGUGAAAUUGGCAAAGAAAUAUAGGUUAUUGCAUCAGAAGGAUAUGACAGGGACUCAACUGUCAAGUUUGAAAGGAAGCAUAACAGGCCUGAAAGGUAUGAUAGGAACAUCACAUAGAUGGCAACGGAGGCUAUAAAGAAAGUUGCCAAAAUCAUAGUUAAUAAGGAGGCUAGGCAUGAUUGACAGAAAUUAAGGAGUUGGAGAAACAGUAGUGAUUUGGACGAAGCACCUGCUGCCCUGCAACAUGGUUCACAAAUUACUCUUCCGAAGAGUAAAGUUAAGGUUUCUCAAUCUCAGCUCGGAGGGGAGAGCAUGGAAGGAUAAUGGGGAGUCGGGAGGUAAAUUUGCAGUCGUACGUACAGCGCGACAACAGCUUGUUCAUACAGUCCAAAUUCUCAAUAAACACAAACCCAGAUCGACAAUCAAGUUGGUGUUGAUCCAAACAAGUUGACAAACAGGAAUUAGAUGAAGACUCGGAACUUAUGAUGGUGAUGUUGGUGCUGUGUGUCCCUUUCCAAUCUGUAUCAGCAUUGAAGAUGGAGGCGCCUCCCCCAGAAAUGUCUGCUUUUCCACCCACCUUAUUCUUUCAACUGCUCACGUCCGAUUUCACUCAGUCGUCAAUAAGUUGUCGUCGUUGUGAAUCAAAUUCAAAUCAUUUUUGUUCAACCUUCAUUCAUUUGAUACUGAAAAAGAGAUUUUUGUUAGUAUCAAGGAGCAAUAUUAUCAUCGGUCAUAAAUUAAUUGUAUGGAUAGUGUCUCCUAAAAUUUUAAUUAAUGAUAUUUCAUUCAAAAAUUUAAA